rnacentral:tRNA from 1 species
GCCCGGCUAGCUCAGUCGGUAGAGCUUGAGACUCUUAACCUCAGGGUCGUGGGUUCGAGCCCCACGGUGGGCG